AACGAACGCUGGCGGCAGGCUUAACACAUGCAAGUCGAACGCCCCGCAAGGGGAGUGGCAGACGGGUGAGUAACGCGUGGGAACAUACCCUUUCCUGCGGAAUAGCUCUGGGAAACUGGAAUUAAUACCGCAUACGCCCUACGGGGGAAAGAUUUAUCGGGGAAGGAUUGGCCCGCGUUGGAUUGGCUAGUUGGUGGGGUAAAGGCCUACCAAGGCGACGAUCCAUAGCUGGUCUGAGAGGAUGAUCAGCCACAUUGGGACUGAGACACGGCCCAAACUCCUACGGGAGGCAGCAGUGGGGAAUAUUGGACAAUGGGCGCAAGCCUGAUCCAGCCAUGCCGCGUGAGUGAUGAAGGCCUUAGGGUUGUAAAGCUCUUUCACCGAUGAAGAUAAUGACGGUAGUGCGAGAAGAAGCCUCGGCUAACUCCGUGCCAGCCGCCGCAGUAAGAC
rnacentral:rRNA from 1 species